CAUUGAACUUAGUGUAUAAUCAUGGCGACCUGGCGAUUGUUGUCACACACGAACUUUGUCAACUUUUUCUGUAUAAGGAGAUUAGCCCAAGAUUCUGUGACAUCAAAACUCAAGCAUGAUACAGAUGUAUUGCCGUUAAAACCAAAGAAACCAAUAAAUCCAUUUAUGCAAUAUCUUCUCACAGUACGAAGCAAUUUACAAAACCAAUAUCCUGACUAUCCAUAUAAAGACAUUAUAAAAAAGGCAUCAGAGCAAUGGGCACAGUUGGAUGCUGUAACAAAACAGAAUUUGCAAAAACAGUAUACAGAACAAUAUUUUGCUUAUAAACAAAAAUUAAUAGAUUAUGAAAAAUCUCUAACAACUGAUCAGAAAAUACUGAUUAAAGAAGAAUUAAUGAGGAAAGAACUUGUCAAAGAAAAGAGAGAAUAUGCUAAGGAAAAAAGUCAAAUUAAACAGAAACUUGAGGAACUUGGGAAACCAAAACGACCAUUGUCUGCCUUCUUUUUAUUCAUGCAAGAUAAAAUGAGUACUAAAAAUCCAGAAAUAUCACAGAAAGAUUGGAUGAGCAAUAUAAGUAAAGAAUGGAAAGACAUGACAAAGGAAGUUAAAACUAAGUACAUAGAUCAGGCAAGGCAUUUAACAGAGAAAUAUAAGGCUGAGUUGCAAAAAUGGGAGGAAGACAUGAUUAAAGCAGGCCGUCGUGACUUGUUGAGGUCCAGUGUUAAAUCUAAACGCAAUACAAGCAUUGGUAUAAAUAAAGAAUAGGAUUCAGAGUGCCUCAACCAAACUAGUAUGCAAAUUGUUGAGCCUGUCUUUGCAGAUCUUCCUGGUAUUAGCAUCCAAAACAAAGAGAACAUUAAAAUAGGUUGGGGCACUGAUAUUGCAUAUGAUAAAUUUGAAAAUGGUCCUGGCGCAAGUCAACAGUUAGAGUCUACAAAAAGCUCAGUACUUUAUAAUGACAGACAUGAUUCACAAAUUGUUACGAAGUAUUCAAAUGAUGGUCGAGAUACAUUGAUAAAAAACGCUAGUAACUCUGUACAGUCUCGUGGUACUUGUACACAGGUGUAUGAGUAUCUUGCUUCCUUGUGGAAGAAAGUUUUAAAAAUUCUGAAAGAAGCUGGCCAAAACUGGAAAACGAAAUAAUGUGGAUAAAGAGAGAUUUGCUUACUGAUCGUCACUGUGGCAACAACACAAAUGCAUCUGAUUCUUUUAUAUACAUAUGUAUACAUUUAUACCUUUAUAUGUAUACAUUUUUACCUCAAACAUUUA